rnacentral:rRNA from 1 species
AUGGCUAUGCGCUACAUCCCCAUCUUCUUCCUCCUAUUCUUGAGUUCAUUCUGCAAAUCCGAUGAUCAACUCACACAAGCAAAGCCACUCACCCACGGCCACACUCUCGUCUCCGAAAGCGGAGACUUUGCUCUUGGCUUCUUCUCCCCGACGGCCUCCAACAGGAGCUUUUACCUUGGCAUAUGGUACCAUAGCCUCCCCGGACCACGGACUGUUGUGUGGGUCGCCAAUCGAGACAACCCAAUCACCAACCCUUCGUCUGGGACGCUUACCGUCACCAACAAAUCAUCAUUGGUAUUAUCUGACUCCAAUGGCCGCAAUAUAUGGAUGACAGCAAGCAAUAUAGCCGCUAGAGUUGCCAGAGCUCAUGCAGUGCUACUCAACUCGGGAAACUUUGUUCUCCGGUCGCCGAAUGGCGCGGACAUAUGGCAGAGCUUUGAUCAUCCGACCGACACAAUGCUUCCAACAAUGAGAUUUUUGGCAAGCUACAAGGCACAAGUCGUCGGGCGGUUCAUUGCUUGGAAGGGACCACAUAACCCGUCCUCCGGGGACUUUUCCUUAAGUAGUGACCCCAGCUCGACAACCCCCCAGCUCGUCAUUUGGCAUCUGAGCAAGCCAUACUGCCGCACCACUGUGUUGAAUGAAGCUUCGGUGAUUUACGGAGGGACAUACCUGAGCAACACCGGAUCUGUAUUGUAUGAAGCAAAUAUUAACUCUAGAGGUGAGUACUACAUCAUGUUCACAGUCUCCGAGAACUCGCCAUUCACACGCAUCACACUUGACUACAGUGGCAAGUCCCAAUUUCUAAGCUGGAACAAUCAGUCAUCUUCAUGGGCACUAAUUGGUGAACACCCCACUGCUGCAUGCGACCUCUAUGCCUUGUGUGGCCCCUUCAGUUAUUGUGACUACACUCAGAUUAUCCCAGCCUGCCAAUGUCUUGAGGGGUUUGAGCCCAUUGAUGAUAUUAGCUCUUCUAAAGGAUGUUCCAGACAAGUUCUUGCACAUACCGAGUGCAACUGCAACUGCUCAUGCACGGCUUACGCUUAUGCCAACUUGAGCAGGGCUGGUGCUAUGGCCGACUCAUCAAGGUGCUUGGUUUGGUUAGGGGAACUUAUUGACGCUGGGAAAGGAACCGCUGGCGAGAACCUUUACUUCCGACUUGCCGAUGCUCCUGUUGAGAAAAAGAUAAGUUCAGUAAAGAUUGUACUCCCGAUUGUGGCAUUCUUGCUGCUACUAACAUGCAUAGCCCUCGUCUGGAUGUACAAAUGCAGAGGUUUUGGCAAAGUUUACAAGGGCACACUGAAAGGUGGAAAUGAAGUUGCUGUCAAGAGGCUCAGUAAGGGUUCUAAACAAGGCAGGCCCGUUGACAAGGCUGUGCGAACGGUGCGAUCGCACAGGGCCCCCGAAAUCUUGGGGCCCCCGAUCAGGGAAAACCAACACAACAUCCUACAGGAUGGCAGGGCGUGGGCCUCAUUUCGCAUUUCGCACCGGGGCCCCUAUUUCCUGGAGACGGCCCUGAAACAAGGUAUAGUGGAGUUCAAAAAUGAAGUAGUUCUGAUUGCCAAGCUGCAGCGCAAGAACCUAGUCAGACUUCUUGGAUUUUGCAUUCAGGAGGAUGAGAAGUUGCUGAUCUAUGAAUAUUUACCUAACAAAAGUUUGGACGCCUUUCUUUUUGAGAAUGAAAGCGCACUGCUUCCAACUCCAAAACAACCUGUAUAUUUCUCUCCAAAGCUCCUUCUCUUCGGAUGGCUCUCCUCCGGCAACACCAUCGUCUCCAAGGGCGGGGACUUCGCACUCGGCUUCUUCUCCCCGGAUGGCUCCAACACGAGCUUGUACCUUGGCAUAUGGUACCACAACAUACCCGGCCGCACCGUUGUAUGGACCGCCAAGCGCGAUGAUCCAAUCGCCGCCGCUUCGUCUCCGACGCUCACCAUCACCAACAGUUCUGACAUGGUGUUGUCGGACUCCCAAGGUCGCACUCAUUGGGCCGUGAAGAACAACAUCAUGGGCAUAGUUUUGAUCACCCGACGGACACGCCCCCCCCCAGGUAGGAUUGUGUUGAGCAAGAAGGGCCAUGUCGUUUGGCGCCUGAUUGCUUCUAAGGGCCUCAAUGACAUGUCAACUGGAGUCUUUUCUAUGAGUCUUGAUCCUAGCUCUGACCUUCAGUUUUUCAUUUGGAAUGGGACAAGGCCCUACCGCUGCCUCUCUAUCUUCAAUGGUAACAUGGCGGUUGGCAACAUAUACCAGAAUACUGUCUUGUAUGAAGCCAUUGUUAGCACAGGGGAUGGGUUCUAUUAUGAUUUUAGAGUCUCUGAUGGCUCACAGUAUGCACAUCUUACGCUCGACUACAUGGGUGUGUUGAUUCUGAGAUUGAACAACCGCUCAUCUUGGACUACCAUCACCGCACCCCCUGCUAGCUGUGACAUCUACGCUUCAUGUGGCCCGUUCAGCUAUUGUGACUACACGGCGGCUCUCUGUCGUUGCCUCGAUGGGUUUGAGCCCUCUGGUCCUAACUUUUCAAGCGGAUGUAGAAGAAUCGAAGAGCUGAAAUGCAGCAAGCAAACCUACUUUAGCACUAAUGGUGCUAUGGCCGACCAGUCACGGUGCUUGGUUUGGACAGUUCAAAAGAAUAACAAAUUGGUAAAGAUUGUACUACCAACCAUGGCAUGCGUGCUGAUACUUGCAUGUAUAGCCCUUGUCAGCAUAUGCAAAUACAGAGCAAUCACAUGGCAGAAGAAGGAAAUACACAAGGGGCUGAUGCUAGGAUACCUUAGCUCGUCCAGUGAAAUGGGUGGUGAACAUGUCGAGUUUCCAUUUGUUAGCUUCGAAGAUAUUGCUACUGAAACGGAUAAUUUCUCUGAAUUUAACCAAAUUGGAAGUGGAGGUUUUGGUAAAGUUUACAAGGGACUGUUGCAAGGUGACAAAGAAGUUGCUAUCAAAAGGCUUAAAAUCUUGUUAGACUUCUUGGUUGUUGUGUUUAUGGAGAUGAGAGAUGAUACAAGACAAUAUGUGCUUGAUUGGCCCACACGCUUCAAAAUAAUUAAAGGGGUAGCGAGAGGGCUUCUUUACCUCCACCAAGAUUCAAGAUUAACUAUAAUUCACAGAGAUCUCAAACCAAGCAACAUCUUGUUGGAUUCCGAAAUGACUUCCAAAAUAUCAGACUUCGGUAUGGCGAGGAUCUUUGGUGGAAACAAACAAGAGGCAAACACUACCCGGGUUGUUGGGACAUAUGCUUACAUGUCGCCUGAAUAUGUGAUGGGAGGUGCCUUUUCUAUAAAAUCGGACACCUAUAGCUUCGGUGUUCUCCUCUUGGAGAUUAUAAGUGGAUUGAAGAUCACCUCCCAGCAACUCGUAAUGAACUUUGUCAGCCUUACAGCUUAUGCAUGGAGACUAUGGGAAGAUGGAAAAGCAACAGAACUGGUGCACUCUUCAGUUACUGAGAGUUGUUCACUUGAUGAAGUUCUAUGGUGUAUCCAUGUCGGACUCCUGUGCGUUCAAGACUGUCCGAAUGAUAGGCCACUCAUGGCAUCAGUUACUUUUAUGUUGGAGAAUGGAAGUGCACUGCUCCCACUCCAAAGCAACCUGUAUAUUUUGCUCUAA